AUCCAGCUGACGAGCUCCAAGUAGGACGAAACGCGCGUCAAACUGGAU
rnacentral:hammerhead_ribozyme from 1 species